rnacentral:lncRNA from 1 species
UCUGUAGAUGCCACAUGUUUAUUAGUCCAUUCUAAAAAAGGAUUACAGCAUCUUUAUCUUGCUGUAGUACAGAAUAAAUAAAGCCAUAAAAAUAAAAACAUGUGGUUAGAUACUUCUGUACUGGUUCUACAAAGAGUUAUAUCUGCAAAUAGAAAAAUAAAAGAACCCUUGUUUAUUCAUGGCUCAGUGGUUAUCAGAGAAGGAUGAACCUGGAAAGAGACUGGGAGAGCUUCUCUUGAGCUUGACUACUUAUUUGACACCUAGAAAACCAGGGCUAGACAUGACCUUGUAAUAAGGAAAGGUAACAAAUCUAGAGUGCCCAAUAAGUCCUCCUGGUUUGCUCUCCUCUCCUCUGAAAAACACAUUUCCCAGUGGAUAUAAGGAAAUCCUUUCCCUCGUGAGGCCAACCAAACAGUGGCCAUGCAGACCUGGUAACCUAGUGAACAGCUGAAGUGAGAGAUCAUCAAAGGUAAAAAAAGAACCUGCCAGGUUUUGGGGAGGAGGACAACUGCUGCGUCUUGGCAAAGAGCUGACCUUGGCACCAAAGGCCUGAGACCGAGCUUGUUUUCUAGCUUCUCUUUUGUUAAUUUAAUGUCUGUCCUACUACUCCCAACUUCCCAGAGAGGUGGUGUCUGCUUUAAACUGCUGCUGAGCCAUUCCAUUCUGCAUCAAAUGGUCAUAUCAGCAAAAAACUGACCCGAAGGUCAAUUGUGAAAAUUGGAUUUGUAGUCGUACUGCAGCGCACCUUUCAUUCCCAGUCGGCUGAACAGAGGGCAGGCAAGGGGGCACAGGAACAGGAGACAACAUUUCUUACUAAAUGCUAGACAGGUAGAAGUGUGCAACAUCUCUGUGCCAGAGGGAACUGAAAACAAGCAGUUGUGAGUAAAGUUCUUAAUUACACACACACACAAGAUACCUGACCUGAACCACACUGCAGUCUCUCCUGUCCCCAGUGCUGCUCAGAUGUGAGUCAUCGGCAGUGACAGAAUCUGACUUGAGCCCAUCUGCCACUCUCAGAGAAUCCCGGCUCCUAAAAUAGAGGUUUCCCAAAAGCUCUUUCCCAUCUCUUUCCAAGUUCUGGUUUACAUGGACACAGUGGUGCAUAAAACAAAAGGUUCAGCUUUGGUCACUGCUGGGAAGCCUGCUGUGGGGUCACAUCAGUUCAACGGCCUCAUGUUCCCCAUUUUCUUGCUGUACCAUGCAGCCAACUUUGUUAUUGAAGAGGCGAGACAGACUUCCCUUCUGAGAGCCCUGGCCCUGGGUAGACCUCUCCUUCUUCAAACGUCGCUUGUUUCUCUUGCAUAUUCCCCGGAUGUCCCAAAUCCUUAGCGUGCCGUCAUGGGAAGCUGUGUAGAGCAACUCGUUGUGGA